rnacentral:rRNA from 1 species
GAUGAACGCUGGCGGCGUGCCUAAUACAUGCAAGUCGAGCGAACAGACGAGGAGCUUGCUCCUCUGACGUUAGCGGCGGACGGGUGAGUAACACGUGGAUAACCUACCUAUAAGACUGGGAUAACUUCGGGAAACCGGAGCUAAUACCGGAUAAUAUAUUGAACCGCAUGGUUCAAUAGUGAAAGACGGUUUUGCUGUCACUUAUAGAUGGAUCCGCGCCGCAUUAGCUAGUUGGUAAGGUAACGGCUUACCAAGGCAACGAUGCGUAGCCGACCUGAGAGGGUGGUCGGCCACACUGGAACUGAGACACGGACCAGACUCCUACGGGAGGCAGCAGUAGGGAAUCUUCCGCAAUGGGCGAAAGCCUGACGGAGCAACGCCGCGUGAGUGAUGAAGGUCUUCGGAUCGUAAAACUCUGUUAUUAGGGAAGAACAAAUGUGUAAGUAACUAUGCACGUCUUGACGGUACCUAAUCAGAAAGCCACGGCUAACUACGUG